rnacentral:rRNA from 1 species
UACAGGGGGGGCAAGCGUUGUUCGGAAUUACUGGGCGUAAAGGGCUCGUAGGUGGCCAACUAAGUCAGACGUGAAAUCCCUCAGCUUAACUGGAGAACUGCGUCUGAUACUGGAUGGCUUGAGUUUGGGAGAGGGAUGCGGAAUUCCAGGUGUAGCGGUGAAAUGCGUAGAUAUCUGGAGGAACACCGGUGGCGAAGGCGGCAUCCUGGACCAACACUGACACUGAGGAGCGAAAGCCAGGGGAGCAAACGGG